rnacentral:rRNA from 1 species
AGGACGAACGCUGGCGGCGUGCUUAACACAUGCAAGUCGAACGAUGAAGCCUUUCGGGGUGGAUUAGUGGCGAACGGGUGAGUAACACGUGGGCAAUCUGCCCUUCACUCUGGGACAAGCCCUGGAAACGGGGUCUAAUACCGGAUAAUACCUUCUCGGGCA